rfam:Aedes albopictus isolate Foshan contig62272, whole genome shotgun sequence.
UGCCCAGCAACUCCUAUUCCUACCUCUUCGCGGUACCGGCCGGAAACUAUGAGCAACCUCAGGGAAGAUCGAGUAACUAACCCCGGUGGGAACUAUGGUCGUAGGCUGACAGGGAAGG